CCCAGUUGAGCCAUAUGGACCAGGGAUGGCGGACAGGAAAGUUUGUCAGUGGGGCUGAUGCACAGAUGGGGUGCACGAGCUCCUCACUGGGGAAAUUUUGUGGGGGAAGGAUGCCCUCAUAGCUCAAACGUUCAGCUCACUCAAGAGUGGGCCAGAGCUAACAGCUAUCACUGUACUCACAGCUCCCAGGCCUUACUGAUCCAAUGGUCUCUUCAGAGAUUUAUGGCUCAGCUCCCAGGAACAAAGAUGAUUUUAUGUAAAUAUUUAUGAAAUUCCUCCCUCUUUCCUUUCCCUCCUGCCUCUCUCUCUCUUCCCUCCCUCCCUCCCUUCCUUUCUUCUUUCCUUCCUUCACUCCUUUUUGCCUGCCUGCCUGCCUUUCUCUUUUUUUCUUUCUUUAGAAAGAGGGAUUUAUAAUUCUUUUCCAAGUAAUGUGGGGACCAUACCAUGAAGAAGACAUUCUUCCUUUUGGUCCUCUGACUCCGAAUGCAACCUCAUUCAUUCAUUCAUUCAUUCAUUUGGUCAGUAUUUGGAGUGCUGUUGAUAGGGGUGGGGUCAUAUAGCCCUCACAUCUAGGUAAGUAGCCCCAACACAGCAAUAGCAGUAGGCAGAGUAUCAGCAGUUGUUCAUAUCUGUCCUGAGCCCCAAUUUCCAUAGGGCGUGUGAAGAAGGCCAGAUGACACUUAUUCACAUAGUGACUUGCAUUAUAGGAGGAGAUCCCUGAGCUCAGAGAACCCAAAUCUUUCAUGAUGGGCAGUAAGUUUGCCUGCCCUUUUCUCCAACAGCAGGUAUUAAUUCUGUUUUUCAAGGCUGGUCACUAUACAUGGAGAAUUCUUUCCCAAUCCUCUUGCCUCUUACCUUUCUUUUUGUUUGUUUGUUUCUUUCUUUCUUUCUUUUUCUUUCUUUCCUUCUUUCUUUCUUUCUUCCUUCCUUUCUUUCUUUCUUUUUUUUUUUUUUUUUUUUUGAGACGGAGUCUCACUGUUGCCCAGGCUGUAGUGUAGUGGCGUGAUCUUAG
rnacentral:lncRNA from 1 species